UAAAACUGUUGAAAUCAAGUGCAAGUUUCCUAGCAUAAAUUUGUUAUCAAACAUGCAUUUAGACCAUGANUGGCUGUUCAUGUAUAUGUUGUAUGUUGAUGUAUAUAUUGUAUAUUCCUGUAUAUUAUAUGUUCAUUUAUUAGGCUACAACUUGAUUAAGUUAAGUAGUCAUUUAAAGUCCUAUGGUACUACACACCAUCUCAAUGGAAUGAGAAAGGUAAAAGUACCUUAAACACUUAGAAAAAUAUGUGGAAGUACUCUACAAAAGAGAACUUCAGUAAUAAUAAGUUCUCUCCCCCAAAUUUAAUACACAACCCCUUAGUAUGUCUAUGGCAUUUCAAUACUAAGGACUUCUCUUUGCAUGCCCUUAUUGUAUGCCUAGACAGUAGUGCUCAAAUUUCUUCCAUGUUCAACUUAAGU
rnacentral:lncRNA from 1 species